CAUUUCAUUUUGGGUAAGGUAAUCCGAUUUUAUAAUGAUCUCUUUCAACAUUUACACACAACCUUCUUACUUUUAAAUGCAGUAUAUAAGUGGCAGAAGGUUUGCCAGGUGGCAGAAGAUUUAUUUAAUAUUCUAUAUAAAUAUAUAAAUGAUAUAAAACUAUACACAUAUAAUAUACAUUAAUAUAAUUCUGUCAAAAAGUUACCUGAAAAUUAUUUUAGUCUCGCAAUCAUCGCCUUUGUACUCAAAAUGUGGGUUUCACCUAUGAUCAUCGCACAAUUUAAAUGGGUCUUUAUGAAAAUAAUAUUUUUAUACCCAUUCAUGGUGUGUUAUUUUAACUGGAUGUUUGUAAUUAUAUAGAUUAUAUAUAUUUAUGAUCAGAACGACGAGUUAAUUAAAAUAAAGCAUGUCAGUAUGCCCGUC